rnacentral:rRNA from 1 species
GAUGAACGCUGGCGGCGCGCCUAACACAUGCAAGUCGAACGGCACCCCUCCUCGGAGGGACGCGAGUGGCGAACGGCUGAGUAACACGUGGAGAACCUGCCCCCUCCCCCGGGAUAGCCGCCCGAAAGGACGGGUAAUACCGGAUACCCCGGGGUGCCGCAUGGCACCCCGGCUAAAGCCCCGACGGGAGGGGAUGGCUCCGCGGCCCAUCAGGUAGACGGCGGGGUGACGGCCCACCGUGCCGACAACGGGUAGCCGGGUUGAGAGACCGACCGGCCAGAUUGGGACUGAGACACGGCCCAGACUCCUACGGGAGGCAGCAGUGGGGAAUCUUGCGCAAUGGGGGGAACCCUGACGCAGCGACGCCGCGUGCGGGACGGAGGCCUUCGGGUCGUAAACCGCUUUCAGCAGGGAAGAGUCAAGACUGUACCUGCAGAAGAAGCCCCGGCUAACUACGUG